AUUGAACGCUGGCGGCAGGCCUAACACAUGCAAGUCGAGCGAGCGGCGGAUGGGUGAGUCAUGUAUGGGGACUGCCCGAUAGAGGGGGAUAACUCCUGGAAACGGUGGCUAAUACCGCAUACUUUCGGAUACCCCAUAUGGGCUUAGCUAGUAGGUGGGGUAAAGGCUAACCUAGGCGACGAUCUCUAGCUGGUCUGAGAGGAUGAUGAGCCAAACGGGAACUGAGACACGGCCCAGACUCCUACGGAGGCAGCAGUGGGGAAUAUUGCACAAUGGGCGCAAGCCUGAUGCAGCCAUGCCGCGUGGAUGAAGAAGGCCUUAGGGUUGUAAAGUACUUUCAGCGGGGAGGCGUUACCCGCAGAAGAAGCACCGGCUAACUCCGUGCCAGCAGCCGCGGUAAUUC
rnacentral:rRNA from 1 species